rnacentral:rRNA from 1 species
AGCGAACGCUGGCGGCAGGCUUAACACAUGCAAGUCGAGCGGGCAUAGCAAUAUUUCUGCGGCAGACGUGUGAGUAACGCGUGGGAACGUACCUUUUGGUUCGGAACAACCGAGGGAAACUUCAGCAAAUACCGGAUAAGCCCUUACGGGGAAAGAUUUAUCGCCGGAAGAUCGGCCCGCGUAUGAUUAGCUAGUUGGUGGGGUAAUGGCUCACCAAGGCGACGAUCUGUAGCUGGUCUGAGAGGAUGAUCAGCCACAUUGGGACUGAGACACGGCCCAGACUCCUACGGGAGGCAGCAGUGGGGAAUAUUGGACAAUGGGCGCAAGCCUGAUCCAGCCAUGCCGCGUGAGUGAUGAAGGCCUUAGGGUUGUAAAGCUCUUUUGUGCGGGAAGAUAAUGACGGUACCGGAAGAAUAAGCCCCGGCUAACUUCGUG